rnacentral:lncRNA from 1 species
CAUGGUGCCAAGACUGUCAUAAACGGCUCCUGAGGUCUGAAAAAACGACAGCAGGAUUCAGCGUUCCUCUGACAACCACUCAGAAAAUAGAAUGUGAAGAAGAAGGAGGAAGGGAAGAUGCGGGGCCAGCCAUCAGAAUGCUCCCUGUGGCUCCAUGGAUGCCUAGAAAUGCUGGUCACUUAAAGGGCACAGGUUACAGAAUGUCAGAUGACUGAAGUAAAAGAGGAAGUAACAUUGCUCAGAGAUGGAGAUUUGUGGCUUCUCUCUUUGGAAAGAUGAGAAAGGGACUAGAAAAUCCUCCGGAUGGGCCUUCAAAGGUCACUGAGCAGGACUCCCAAAGGCCACCACUGCUGUCCAGCACCCCUCUCAAUGCAGCUACUCCCAGUGGGUUGUGGAACCACUCUCUCCUGUGUCUUCAAGUAUAGAGGUGGAAACAGCUGUCUGCUGUUGCUUGCACCAAGGAGAAAAGACAUAGUUAGAACAUCAAAGAUGUUGGAAUUAGGAAGACAUUGA